GCGUGAGUGAUGAAGGCCCUAGGGUUGUAAAGCUCUUUCAGUUGGGAAGAUGAUGACGGUACCAACAGAAGAAGCCCCGGCUAACUUCGUGCCAGCAGCCGCGGUAAUACGAAGGGGGCUAGCGUUGUUCGGAAUUACUGGGCGUAAAGGGCGCGUAGGCGGUUUUGUUAGUUAGGCGUGAAAGCCCCGGGCUCAACCUGGGAAUUGCGCUUAAUACUGCAAAACUUGAGUUCGAGAGAGGGUGGUGGAAUUCCAAGUGUAGAGGUGAAAUUCGU
rnacentral:rRNA from 1 species